GGGAUAUUUGGUUUUGACAGCAGGUAGAAUCUGCAAGUAAGCAUGCAGAGCGCUGUAGGAGCAGCUCUUUAAUCACGAUCCUACGACUCUUAAUUGGCGAAAAUUCUUACGCUCUCGCUGCUUAAUCGAAGUAUAGUAGAUAAGCUUCAUUUCGGCACCAGGUGCUGAAACGAGACAUCGCUCCAUUGCCCGCUCUUCGAGGCGUUUGGGUUAUGCGGUGCAAGAAUAUCGGAGAUAGCUGACGAUGGCUGCGCAUCGGAAGCGAAAAUUUAGCAGAUAAGGCAUUGGUUGGUGGCUUGGGUCUUGCCGAUGCACGAAAAUGAAGGCCAAGAUAAGCAUGUAGAAAGCCUGUUGGUUCCUUGUUUGGACGGGGGUUCGACUCCCCCUAUCUCCACU
rnacentral:tmRNA from 1 species